CAGUCGCCGCGGUAAUACGUAGGGUGCAAGCGUUAAUCGGAAUUACUGGGCGUAAAGCGUGCGCAGGCGGUUCGUUAAGACAGAUGUGAAAUCCCCGGGCUUAACCUGGGAACUGCAUUUGUGACUGGCGGGCUAGAGUAUGGCAGAGGGGGGUAGAAUUCCACGUGUAGCAGUGAAAUGCGUAGAGAUCAGGAGGAACACCGAUGGCGAAGGCAGCCCCCUGGGCCUGUACUGACGCUCAUGCACGAAAGCGUGGGGAGCAAACAGGAUUAGAUACCCGCGUAGUCCCUGUCUCUUAUAC
rnacentral:rRNA from 1 species